CACCCUCAAGCUUGCUUGGUUAUGGGCGUGCGAGCUAUCGCUGCCUCAAAAUCAGUGGCGGGAGGUCGAGUCUCCAGCGUAGUACUUUCUCGCUCCGAGUCCUCGCCCCUCCUCGCCAGAACCGCUGGCUGCCAGCACACCUCCA
rnacentral:misc_RNA from 1 species